GUCCUUUUGAUUAUUAUUUAAGGUCUGGCCUGCUCAAUGAUAAAUUAAAUGGCUGCGGUAUUUUGACCGUACAAAGGUAGCAUAAUAAUUAGUUUCUUAAUUGGGAACUGGAAUGAAUGGUUAUACGAGAAAGUAACUGUCUCGAGCCAAUUUUAUUUGAAUUUUAUCUUUGAGUUAAAAAGCUCAAAUUUUAAUGGAAGACGAGAAGACCCUAUAGAUUUUUAUAUUUUUUUGCUUAGAUUAUUUAGGAUUUUUUAAUAUUUAAUUAAGAAAUUAUUUUGUUGGGGUGACAGAAAAAUUUAUUGAACUUUUUCUCUUUUUAUUCAUUUAUUUAUGUAAGCUUGAUCCGAUUUUUUCGAUUAUAAGAUUAAAUUACCUUAGGGAUAACAGCGUUAUUUUGUCUGAGAGUUCUUAUCGAAGACAGGGUUUGCGACCUCGAUGUUGGAUUAAAAUUUGCUUUUGGUGUAGCAGCUAAAAGGCUUAGUCUGUUCGACUAUUAAAAUUUUACAUGAUCUGAGUU
rnacentral:rRNA from 1 species